GCAGCAGCCGCGGUAAUGCGUAGGUGGCAAGCGUUGUCCGGAAUUAUUGGGCGUAAAGGGCUCGCAGGCGGUUUCUUAAGUCUGAUGUGAAAGCCCCCGGCUCAACCGGGGAGGGUCAUUGGAAACUGGGAAACUUGAGUGCAGAAGAGGAGAGUGGAAUUCCACGUGUAGCGGUGAAAUGCGUAGAGAUGUGGAGGAACACCAGUGGCGAAGGCGACUCUCUGGUCUGUAACUGACGCUGAGGAGCGAAAGCGUGGGGAGCGAACAGGAUUAGAUACCCCCGUAGUCCCUGUCUCUUAUAC
rnacentral:rRNA from 1 species